AGUGUUUAAGGUCAUGAGGCGAAGAAGCCUAUUGAUUUUCAGCGAUUUCUGAUAAUUACUGCCAGAGUAAUGGCCCUUGAUCACUUCAAAAGAUCUUGUGGACGCUCUAGAGGCCAAAGUUAAUAUCCGAUUGACCUUAAAUUUAUACAGUGUUUAAGGUCAUGAGACCGAGAAGCCUAUUGAUUUUCAGCGAUUUCCGAUAAUUACUGCCAGAGUUAUGGCCCUUGAUAACUUUGAAAAAUCUUGUGGACGCUCUAUCAUAGAACUAGAAUACUAACGGGAACGCCCACUCGGUGACGUAUAACGGUGAUGACAUAAUUAUGUUGAACAUCGCAUGCGCGAAGUCAAUAAGGCACAAGUAACUUCCGGCCGUAUGUCAACAUAGCAGAAGUGUACGACAUCCUGGAAUUUCAAGAACUUGACGGUGUAAUAGAUCUUUUCUUUGCUAAAGAUUUGUUUGAGACAUCUCAACCUGUCGUUCCAGUAGCAUCCAUUCAAACUAAUCCAGUUAAAUUUAAUGGGAAAGUUCAAGUAGUGGUUAUAUGAAAAAUGAUCUGAUGUUCACAUGAUCUCAAGGGUUUGCCGAACCUCAAUCGAGUUUAACCCCAACAAGGAAUAUUAUACAUCAAAACUUGUCAUCUGCCUGUGCAUUUUCUAGUAUAAGUUUAUCAUCAUUUGGAACAAAUGGUUAAAUUACUAUUCAAGAUGACUAAUUUAAAAAACAAGAACAACAAUAUGUGGUUGGAAUGAUCCAAGGCUCUGUUCAAAGAUAUUUUAUUCACAUGACAGUGAUGCUUGUUAAAUAAAACUUGUGAAUUUAACAGAUAAUGACCAUUGAUAAACACUAAAGGCAAAUAGAAAUGCACAAAAAAAUCCAUAAGCUUAUGAUAAUAAUGAUUAAACAUACAUUAUGCAAGAGCUAAAUCUGCCUAUUGCAGGUUUUCUUUAGGCCUGAAAUGUUUUCUAAAUUAUUAAUUAGACAUUAAUUAACUUGUCCAGGCCCUAAUCAACUCUCGAUGGCAUCGGAUUUCUCCAAUAUUAAAUAGAUUAGAACAGUUCAGCCAUAUUUUGAUUUAAGCUAAAAAUGGAGGAGUGAGACUACUUCGAACAACCAGUACGAUGGUUGAAAUUUUUGCACACGUCUUGUCAAACCUUCAAAGGCCUUCAAAGGCUAAUAUCUUCGCUUGCAAUAGAGUAAUUUGAAUGAAAUUUUCAAAUUAUUCAUUUUACAUUAUUUAUCUUCGAACUAUUAUAGCAAGAAUGGCUAGCUCUUUAUCAAAAUCUUACAUAAUGUAUAUUUAAGAAUAAUUUAAUACAUUUAUAAAGCUCACACAUUACAAGUUGUGCACCUGUAUAAAAUUUGUAUAAAUUUUGUUAUCAUUGUUAAUAUUUUAUACUGAGAUGCAAUAAAAAUAAUACAUCACUUUUAUAAAUGGAUGAAUGUAAAUCUUGUUUGAAAUGAAUCCAGGUUUAACGCCCUACUUAGUACUUUUCAGUUCAAUUUUGUUUUAAAGAUUUGCUUUAAUCUUGCAAUUAAGGAUGUAACAACAUCAUAUUACGAUGAUAACAUGUGAGAAUGUUUUGAAGAUUGCGUAAACGCACCCCGAACAAUUCUCAAUCAAAACAAUUAAACCCAACAGAAUCAGUAUGUUGAUUUUUCUGGUACACACGUGGGGUAUAUAAUGCAGCUUUUAAAAAGCUAGGUUUUGUGCAACUGUGGAAGGUGCAAAGUUAUGCCACGUCAUCUCAGAGGUGCUAUUUCAUUGCGUCUCGAUAUAUUUUGUUUACAAUUAUCAACCUGGCCCCAAGUUCACAAAGCAUUCCCAGACUUAAUAAUUUGCUCAACUUUCAAUCACUGUUUUUGAGAAAUAUCUUUGAUCCAGAAACACAAAACUUUGCGCAUAGUUUCUUAUUGAUAUAUUUACAUUAAAACAACAAUAGUUAGUAAAGUGCUAUAUUUAAGUUAAAAUAAGACAAACAAUUUUGAGUAAAACCUUAACUUAAAAGACUGAGAAUGCUUUGUAAACUUGGGGCCUUGUUUUCUUUUCAUUACUUAUUAUCUACAAUACAGUAAUAACAAGAAAUAAAAAAUCUGUAGAACACUGCUGAUUAAGUUCUAGAUUUAAUCCUAGAUUCAAUCACAUUUAUAUUUUUAUACUUCCAAUAUCGAUAUUAAUUCCAAUAGAGCCAGGUGAUGUUUAGUUUAAUUAUACACUUUCUAUUUUGUUGUAUGAAAUUAUCUGUAUAAUCUGUGUUUUUGUUCCUUUCAUUGUGUGAAAUGCUUGCAGCAAAGUGCUGUAAAUAAAAUACCUGAAAUAAAUGAUCACAGUUUAACUCUAUAACUUCUCAUUUGACCUCAAAUCUAUGUGGAGUGGAGUCAGUUGGAAGAAAUAAAUCAAAAUGGAGUGAAAUCUACAUUUUAAUCAAAUUCGUACCACAUGAUUAUAUUCUACCACUUUUUGCUCGUUUAUAUGGCAACUAUAUAUUAUUGCUAAGCUAUUUUUGAAUUGUAAAUUACAUUUACAAGUAUGUAAAUAUUGAUUCUUUGAAUUAUAUAUUUUCAAUCAAAAUCUGAAUAUGCAAUGUGCUAUGUAGCCAUAUAUGUGAAAUAAACUAUUAUUAUUGCUAUUUACUUUCUCUGUAAAUCUCUGUUAAUCUGUCGACAACUUAAACAAAUUUCGAUUUGAGUGUCCUCAAGAAAACUAUUACAUACAGAAGCAAGUACACAGAUUUCGUAAUUUAUAUGUUGACUUAUUUGUGUUCAUGAAAAGAUCAACCUGUCUGAUAUAUCUUACAGUUGUAGGCUGACAUUGAGAAUAAGACUGUAAAUGUUUUGAUGUUAUGCCCCUACAUAUCUUCAUAUUCUCAACAGUUCUUAUAAGUAAAUCUAUAGAUGUAACUUUAAUUUGAACAGGAAACAAAAAUUAUUAUAUUGUACUUCACAAUUCAAGUCCUUGUCAAUGGUUAAAUGGUAUGUUACACUUUUAUCUUCAG